rnacentral:tRNA from 1 species
GCCGACGUAGCUCAAUCGGCAGAGCAAUUGUUUUGUAAACAAUAGGUUAUCGGUUCGAUUCCGAUCGUCGGCU